ensembl:lncRNA
AACAUGCAUCUGAAUUUGCACACGCUCUGGGAAGCCCAUCAGAGACUCUGCUCAUCAUCGUAGGAGCGUCAGUCGCCGGGGUUUUGGUCAUUGUUAUAGUGAUGACCAUCGUUUUCGUCAACUGUCACCUCAGACGCAAGAACAGGAAGCUGAAGCGAGCGCUCAGCGUCAGAACGGAGGAGAUGAUCAGUCUGUCGCGACAGGUUUCCAUGAGGAGACUCAACUCCAUCAAUGGAGAUCCCAGGACAGCGCUGGAGGAGGGUUCACUGAUUCAGAUGGACAGUGUGAUGAAGGGCAGUGUUUUAUCGGUGGAGGAUCAUUCAGCGCUGAGUGACGUGAGAGGCAGACGUGGAGUCGGAGAGUAUGAUAGUCUGGGACGUCCCGCCAUCUACACGCCGUACCGGCCGGAGCGAUCCAGCAAGAUCAUGAGAGAGAGUGAGGAGGAGAGAAAGGAGCGCAGACGGAGAGUCGAGUCCUUCGUCAAAUCCAGCAACAUGUCACUGGAUUCAGGGCUUCACCGGGAUCAGAGUUCUCCUCCUCCGUCCAUGAGCUCGGGUCUGACUGGAGAUGCAAUCGGUGAAGGAUGGAAGCGUGGCUCUCGCAGAGAGAUUCACCGAGACGUGCAGCGAGAGCGAGUUCCUGAAGGAGAAGAGGAAAGCUCCGCUGUGAACUCCUAUCAGCUAUCCGAGGCCGUUUCCAACUACUUCCAGUGCAGCAACGGCGGACUGACGCCGAAGGCAAACACUAACGGCAUCAUCAUACACUCGCAGAGAUCGGUCAUGUGAUCAACACUCGAUCCUUCCUGCAGCCCAAGCGUUGUGCUGAUCGUCGGUGCAUGCAGCUUGAUUAUCUGAGAACUCUUAAAGAGACAGUGCACAAAAAAUGAUCAUUCACUCAGUCAAACCUGCAUGGUUUUCUUCUGAAGAAGCCUUUGCAAAGCAUUAAUGCUCAAAACAGUCGUGCAUAUCACUCGUGCACAAUAGUGCAAGUCUGCUGUAGUCUUGAUAAUCUUCAUUCUGCAAAGCACUCGAAUCGUUUGAGACGUUCAGUGUCGCUGAUGUCAAACCUGGACAUUUGGAGAAGAUUUGAGGAAACACUUUACAAAAAGAUUUCCUUUAGUUCAUGCU